AUGGGAAUCAUCUUCGGUAUUUUGGUCCAGGUCUUGUUGUUCGUGGCCAUCACACUGCACACCAUCUGGCAAAAUAAGGCAACAAAGUUGAAGAACAGAGUCUUCACUUCUUCUCUUCUAGCGGGACUUCAUGUGGCAUUAUGUAUGAAGCCCUUUGAGCACAAAUCUUUCUAUGGAAGGACCUUCAUGGGAUUUGGAGUGCUCAAUGGCAUCUCAAUUUGGCUUCUCAAUCAGAGUCUAUGUUUCAACUCUGUUGGUUUCUAUCAGGGCAAGUCGAGUGCAUUGGUUGGAUCUAGAUUCCUGAUAUUGCAUAGGACUCGUCAAAAGGUUAUCACUUAUUCUAUAAUGUGGGUCACAUAA
rnacentral:rRNA from 1 species